AGUGGAAAAACUUUAGUGAUAACACCAAUGCUGAGCAGCAUGAAAUCUUUCUCGUGCUAUGAAAACUACGGUCUCGAUUUAAACACGUGAAUUUAUUGUAAAUUUAGUUUAAAGUUAAUCCUACAGGAUGGACAAGAAGUAGCGGCUCCAAAGGAUUUCCGUAUUUUUCGAAAAGGAAUACGUAUCAAAUUUCGGAAUCAAGACCCGGCGACGUACCUUCGUGUCUCCGGCUGUCGUUUCAGCGGCUGAAAGAAUGCAAGACUGCUACGCGCAGUAAAGCCUUUGAACUCGGCCAGCGGCAGUCGGCAGCCCAGAAAGAGUUUUCUUUUUCUUCAUGAGGCACGCAGCCGCUGGAACCGGCUUGUCGGGAGAUAGCGACGAUGUCGUCGCAAAACGCCGCGUCUCCCGUGGCUUUCGGAGAGCUCUCAACGAUCUGUGAAAAGCUGAGCUACCCGGUAUAAAUUUGUGCUUGCUCGUAACCAUAUCCGCAGCAGGUCUCCAGGGUCAAAUGCCUCU
rnacentral:ncRNA from 1 species